UACGUAGGGUGCGAGCGUUAAUCGGAAUUACUGGGCGUAAAGCGUGCGCAGGCGGUUCGUUGUGUCGGCGGUGAAAGCCCCGGGCUUAACCUGGGAAUGGCCGUUGAAACUGGCGAACUGGAGUGUGGCAGAGGGGGGUAGAAUUCCACGUGUAGCAGUGAAAUGCGUAGAGAUGUGGAGGAACACCGAUGGCGAAGGCAGCCCCCUGGGUCAAGAUUGACGCUCAUGCACGAAAGCGUGGGGAGCAAACAGG
rnacentral:rRNA from 1 species